GACGAACGCUGGCGGCGUGCUUAACACAUGCAAGUCGAACGGAAAGGCCCUGCUUUUGUGGGGUGCUCGAGUGGCGAACGGGUGAGUAACACGUGAGUAACCUGCCCUUGACUUUGGGAUAACUUCAGGAAACUGGGGCUAAUACCGGAUAGGAGCUCCUGCUGCAUGGUGGGGGUUGGAAAGUUUCGGCGGUUGGGGAUGGACUCGCGGCUUAUCAGCUUGUUGGUGGGGUAGUGGCUUACCAAGGCUUUGACGGGUAGCCGGCCUGAGAGGGUGACCGGCGACAAUGGGACUGAGAUACGGCGCAGACUGCUACGGGGGGCAGCAGGGGGGAAUAUUGCACAAUGGGCGGAAGCCUGAUGCAGCAGCGCCGCGUGCGGGAUGACGGCCUUCGGGUUGUGAACCGCUUUCGCCUGUGACGAAGCGUGAGUGACGGUAAUGGGUAAAGAAGCACCGGCUAACUACGUG
rnacentral:rRNA from 1 species